GUGUCAGCAGCCGCGGUAAUACAGAGGGUGCAAGCGUUGCUCGGAUUUACUGGGCGUAAAGCGUACGCAGACGGCUGGAAAGGUCGGACGUGAAAGCCCCGGGCUCAACCCGGGAAAUGCGUCCGAAACCAUUCGGCUCGAGUAUGGGAGAGGAAAGCGGAAUUCCUGGUGUAGAGGUGAAAUUCGUAGAUAUCAGGAGGAACACCGGCGGCGAAGGCGGCUUUCUGGCCCAUUACUGACGUUCAGGUACGAAAGCGUGGGUAGCAAACAGGAUUAGAUACCCUGGUAGUCCACGCCGUAAACGAUGUGUGCUGGAUGUCGGGGGUAUUCACCCCCUCGGUAUCGAAGCCAACGCGAUAAGCACACCGCCUGGGGAGUACGGCCGCAAGGUUGAA
rnacentral:rRNA from 1 species